AUUGAACGCUGGCGGAAUGCUUUACACAUGCAAGUCGAACGGCAGCACGGGGGCAGCCCUGGUGGCGAGUGGCGAACGGGUGAGUAAUACAUCGGAACGUGCCCAGUCGCGGGGGAUAACGUAGCGAAAGUUACGCUAAUACCGCAUACGAUCUACGGAUGAAAGCGGGGGACCGUAAGGCCUCGCGUGAUUGGAGCGGCCGACGUCAGAUUAAGUAGUUGGUGAGGUAAAGGCUCACCAAGCCGACGAUCUGUAGCUGGUCUGAGAGGACGACCAGCCACACUGGGACUGAGACACGGCCCAGACUCCUACGGGAGGCAGCAGUGGGGAAUUUUGGACAAUGGGCGCAAGCCUGAUCCAGCCAUUCCGCGUGCAGGGCGAAGGCCUUCGGGUUGUAAACUGCUUUUGUACGGAACGAAAAGGCUCUGGUUAAUACCUGGGGCUCAUGACGGUACCGUAAGAAUAAGCACCGGCUAACUACGUGCCAGCCGCCGCCGAAG
rnacentral:rRNA from 1 species